UACGGGGGGAGCAAGCGUUGUUCGGAUUUACUGGGCGUAAAGGGCGCGUAGGCGGCCAGCACAAGUCAGUUGUGAAAUCCCCGAGCUCAACUCGGGAACUGCGUCCGAUACUGGCGGGCUUGAAUCCGGGAGAGGGAUGCGGAAUUCCAGGUGUAGCGGUGAAAUGCGUAGAUAUCUGGAGGAACACCGGUGGCGAAGGCGGCAUCCUGGACCGGCAUUGACGCUGAGGCGCGAAAGCUAGGGGAGCAAACGGG
rnacentral:rRNA from 1 species